CCUACUGGAGGCAGCAGUGGGGAAUAUUGGACAAUGGGGGGAACCCUGAUCCAGCCAUGCCGCGUGUGUGAAGAAGGCCCUCGGGUUGUAAAGCACUUUCAGUGAGGAAGAACGCCUGGUGGUUAAUACCCAUCAGGAAAGACAUCACUCACAGAAGAAGCACCGGCUAACUCCGUGCCAGCAGCCGCGGUAAUACGGAGGGUGCGAGCGUUAAUCGGAAUUACUGGGCGUAAAGCGCGCGUAGGUGGCUUGAUAAGCCGGUUGUGAAAGCCCCGGGCUCAACCUGGGAACGGCAUCCGGAACUGUCAAGCUAGAGUGCAGGAGAGGAAGGUAGAAUUCCCGGUGUAGCGGUGAAAUGCGUAGAGAUCGGGAGGAAUACCAGUGGCGAAGGCGGCCUUCUGGACUGACACUGACACUGAGGUGCGAAAGCGUGGGUAGCAAACAGGAUUAGAUACCCGAGUAGUC
rnacentral:rRNA from 1 species